rnacentral:rRNA from 1 species
UCCCUUCCGCCUCUUUGAGUCUUGCAUUGGAUGAGUACAAUUUAAAUACCUUAACGAGGAACAAUUGGAGGGCAAGUCUGGUGCCAGCAGCCGCGGUAAUUCCAGCUCCAAUAGCGUAUAUUAAAGUUGUUGCAGUUAAAAAGCUCGUAGUUGGAUUUUGGAUCUGAUCAGCCGGUCUGCCUAUCGGUAAGUACUGGUUGGUUGGGUCCCACUUUCUGGUGGUCCGGCGUGCUCUUUAUUGGGUGGGUUGGGUAGCCAGGACUUUUACUUUGAAAAAAUUAAAGGGUUCAAAGCAGGCUUACGCUUGAAUACAUUAGCAUGGAAUAAUAGAAUAGGACUUUGGUUCUAUUUUGUUGGUUUCUAGGACCGAAGUAAUGAUUAAUAGGGACAGUUGGGGGCAUUAGUAUUUCAGGGCUAGAGGUGAAAA